rnacentral:rRNA from 1 species
UACGUAGGGUGCUAGCGUUGUCCGGAUUUAUUGGGCGUAAAGGGCUCGUAGGCGGCGUGUCGCGUCGGGGAGUGAAAAGCCCCGCUGCUUAACGGCGGGGUUGGCUUCCGGUACGGGCAUCGCUGGAGUGCGGGCAGGGGGAGACUGGAAUUCCUGGUGUAGCGGUGGAAUGCGCAGAUAUCAGGAGGAACACCGAUGGCGAAGGCAGGUCUCUGGGCCACUACUGACGCUGAGAAGCGAAAGCAUGGGAGCGAACAGG